rnacentral:rRNA from 1 species
UUUAGUCAGGCAACAAGCGAGACCCCUGCUCCUAGUUGCUACCGUUACUCUCUGGAGUAGCGGAGCGAAUUAGUAGGACCGCCGCAGUUAAUGCGGAGGAAGGAAGGGGCCACGGCAGGUCAGUAUGCCCCGAAACUCUGGGGCCACACGCGGGCUGCAAUGGUAUUGACAAUGUGUUCCGAAUCCGAAAGGAGGAGGCAAUCAUCAAACAAUACCUCAGUUAUGAUUGAGGGCUGUAACUCGCCCUCAUGAAUAUGGAAUCCCUAGUAACUGCGCGUCACUACCGCGCGGUGAAUACGUCCCUGCUCCUUGCAC